AUUGAACGCUGGCGGCAGGCCUAACACAUGCAAGUCGAGCGGAUGAAGGGAGCUUGCUCCUGGAUUCAGCGGCGGACGGGUGAGUAAUGCCUAGGAAUCUGCCUGGUAGUGGGGGAUAACGUCCGGAAACGGGCGCUAAUACCGCAUACGUCCUGAGGGAGAAAGUGGGGGAUCUUCGGACCUCACGCUAUCAGAUGAGCCUAGGUCGGAUUAGCUAGUUGGUGGGGUAAAGGCCUACCAAGGCGACGAUCCGUAACUGGUCUGAGAGGAUGAUCAGUCACACUGGAACUUAGACACGGUCCAGACUCCUACGGGAGGCAGCAGUGGGGAAGAUUGGACAAUGGGGGAAAGCCUGAUACAGCCAUGCCGCGUGUGUGAAGAAGGUCUUCGGAUUGUAAAGCCCUUUAAGGUGGGAGGAAGGGCAGUAAGUUAAUACCUUGCUGUUUUGACGUUAACAACAGAAUAAGCACCGGCUAACUUCGUG
rnacentral:rRNA from 1 species